rnacentral:lncRNA from 1 species
AUGGAUCUUUUGCAUCCUCUUCUGCUGUCCUGUGUUCUGAGACGGGUCUCAUUUCCACCAACAGAUAGAAUUUUGCAUAACACAAAAAGGAACUAAGAAGAGGUUUAAUGCCAAGUACAGAAAGAGGAGGAAAGAAAAGGAGAUAAAAUGAUCUACUGGAAGGAAUAGAGAAGAAGGAAAGCUUGCUUUCUCAUUCAGCUCUUCAAGCCAAGACUUGGCAAAGGAAGGACAGUGCUGUACAAGGAAGAAGAGAUGGAGACCAAGAGACAAUGACAAGGAGGAAAUUCUUAGGAUUCCCUGAGGAGAAAGAGAAAAAGGGAAGUAUUUUUUCCCGCAUGAGACAGAACUGCUGGUGCAGACAGCUGGCUGAAAUUGUUCCCACAAUCUUCUGAAGAGCGGCCAGUCUCAAGAUGAAUCCCGUCACCUGAUCCAAACAUGAUGUAGUUCCAGGUUGAACAGAUGACUUCAGAUUUCCUUGAAACAAUACAAAAAUUCAAGAUUCCUGAGUGUGAAGUGCAGACUUCAUUGAUAAUUCCUCAGUCCCUUUUUAUAUUUUAUUCCCAUAGUCUUUGCUAGCACGCUGAAAAAGAUUAAUAUGUUGGGGUUUUCAUUCCUUUAUGUCAUCAGUGUUUAAGUACAGACCUAAUGGUCCCUGUCAUUGCAAGCUCUAACAGUAUGCCAGAAGGUAAUAAAUGUGCUUGACAAGAACA